CGAAGUACCAAGUCCCCUCAAGCAAAGAGCUUUUCUCAAGAGUGGAAACGAAAUAUUGAAAUUGCUCGGAGUUAUCUUGAAAAAGCUCAAAAACGGUAUAAAAAGGCUGCAGAUCUAAAGCGCCGUUUUAUUGAAUUCAAUGUUGGAGAUCUGGUAAUGGUUAAACUUCCCGACAGAAAUGUUUACAAACCAACAAGAGGGAAGGACUCAAGAUUGUCACCAAAAUACAUUGGACCAUUACCCAUUGUGAAGAGGAUUGGAAGAGUUGCAUACAGAGUUGAACUCCCUUCAUGGUGUAAAAUCCACAAGGUCCUUCAUGUUAGUGUGUUGAAGCCAUACUUUUCGGAUAAGGAGGAAGCAUCUAGAAAUGAGCCAAAGCGACCUGUAUUUGAACUGAAGAAAGCUGGAAAGAAGGUUGCUGAAGCUAUUCUUGACCAUCGAAUCACUCGGGC
rnacentral:lncRNA from 1 species